UAGUUGCAAGGUAUAGACCCGAAACCCGGUGAUCUAGCCAUGGGCAGGUUGAAGGUUGGGUAACACUAACUGGAGGACCGAACCGACUAAUGUUGAAAAAUUAGCGGAUGACUUGUGGCUGGGGGUGAAAGGCCAAUCAAACCGGGAGAUAGCUGGUUCUCCCCGAAAUCUAUUUAGGUAGAGCCUUGAGCGGACACCUUUGGGGGUAGAGCACUGUUUCGGCUAGGGGUCCAUCCCGGAUUACCAACCCGAUGCAAACUGCGAAUACCAAAGAGUGAUACUCAGGAGACACACGGUGGGUGCUAACGUCCAUCGUGGAGAGGGAAACAACCCAGACCGCCAGCUAAGGUCCCAAAAUCUAUAUUAAGUGGGAAACGAAGUGGGAAGGCUUAGACAGCUAGGAUGUUGGCUUAGAAGCAGCCAUCAUUUAAAGAAAGCGUAAUAGCUCACUAGUCGAGUCGGCCUGCGCGGAAGAUGUAACGGGGCUAAAAU
rnacentral:ncRNA from 1 species